rnacentral:lncRNA from 1 species
GUGAGGAAGCGUAUCACAUCCCGCUGCAGCCUGUUGCCAAAGAUCCCCCCACAGAGACAGGGCCCCCAGGCCGUGGUGACCAGGCCCAAGGCAGGGAAAGGGGUGCUGUCCCUGUGCUCUGCGCUGUCUCUGCUGAAGUUGCGCUGCCGCCUGAGAAAGCAGGCUCUAUCGAGGAGGCUGCUAGUCGUAUAGUGGAUGCUGUCAUAGAGCGAGUCAAGGCCUCGGGAGCACUGAUGACAGAGGGGAAGAUCAGUCAUGUGUUCCUGUCCAGUCCUUCCGAGUCAGGCCCAGAGACUGAACAGCUAGAGAGUGCUUCUCCAGGGAAGGCGCAUGCUGUCCAGCCUGCGGAGACCCCACCAAUGGGCAGUGUUUGCAGAGAAGCCUCUGAGAACCUUACAGGAUGCGUUGCUGGAAGGGAGGAGCCAGAGAAGAUUAUUUCGCCUGUCCUGGGAUCUGGGCCACAACAGAAAUGCCAGACACAAAAGCUGAAGAUGAAGUGGAUUUUCUGAAUAACCCUGGGGAAAGUUCAAUUUCUGCAGAGGUGGCUAUCAGCAACAGAGCUAUGACACCUGAGGUGAAACAAGGCCUGAAGACACAGGUGGGGAUUUUAAAAUUCACAAUAGAUUUUUUUCCCCUUUCUCUCGUGUUCCCUCACAUACAAAUGUGGACAUGUUUAGUGAAGGUUUUACACAGCGUAGAUUUGGAACAGAACCUCGUGCAUCGAUCCCUUGGAGAUUGUAAUGAAAAGGUUUUCCCUGUGAGCAUGAGACUUUCCAAUUCGUCAUGAGGUUUAACAUGUCAGAAAAUGGGAAUUGCCACAAAAAGAGGUCUUAAACCUGACUGUCCUUUCUUUGUAUAGAAACUGAGAGCAAAAAUGAGAUUUAAAUGUAAAGAUCAGUACUGACUAAAAAUAUGAAGUAUGCCAUUUUUAGAGAUGAAAAAAAGGUUCAGUAGGUUUUCCUGACAGUUUUAUUGAGAAGUAAUUCACAUAACCAUAAAAUCUGCUUGUUCAAGUAAAGUAGUUUAGUAGUUUUUAAUAUAUUUACACAGUGGUACAGCUGUCACUACUAAUUUUAUAACAUUAUCACCACACCAUAAAAAACCACAUAUUCAUUAGCAGUCCACCCCCACACCCCCUCAGCUAAUAGUUACUAAUCUCUUUAUGGAUUUGCCCAUUUUGGAACCAUGUAAUCGGAAUUCUAAAAUAUGUAGUCUUUGUGACUGAUUUCUUUCACUUAGUAUUAUGUUUCAAGGUUCAUUCCAUGUUGUAACAUUGAUCAGUAUUUCAUUUCUUUUCAUUGCCAAGUAAUAUUCUGUUGUAGGGAUAUACCACACUAGUACAUUUGGCUUAUUUCUACUUUUUGGCUAUUGUGAAUAAUAAUUGCUGUGAACAUUUAGGUGUUGGUGAUGGACAUGUGUUUUCAUAUUCUUUGGGUUUUCAUGUGCUUUGUAGGGGGUUUGCUGGAUCAUAGAGUAAUUCUAUAUUUAAUAUUAAUUUUCAGAAUUGUUUUUCUUCAGGGUCUUGAUUAUUUUCUUGUUUAAAUCUAUUAACUUGUAAAACAAGAAGUCUUAAAUUUGUCAAGAGAAACAGUGCUUUAAGCUUUAGAUUCCAUGCUUGUUUAAAAAAAAAAAACUUUUGGAAGCAGAAAAAUCAGGUUACUGGACUAAAUCACUUUGCCUCUUCAGAAAACGGUGCUUCCUUGUCGAGACUUGAGGGUGCACUGUUUUUACUCUUUAGAGAACUAAAAGUUAUUUUUUCUUAAAGUCACCCCAGUAGGUAAACAGAACUGUACCCUCCCAAGCUGCUUCAAGUGUAUGAAUUGUGAUAAACAAGCUUCAUUUUACUGGAGUACAGUGGUAGGGAGGUGCUGGCUGUUCUAACCCACCCCUUAUUACAGAUAAUAUUCAUGACUAAUGCCUGGGUGGCUACUUGUACAGCAGGCAUUAUUCAGACAAAUGUUGCUUUUGCCCCUGGGGAAAGAAAAGAGAACACACCCUGCAUGGGUACAUGUGUCUUUUGUUUCCAGAAGCCCCUGAAAAAGGGAAGGAACAAACUCACAUCCUUGAAUUGAAAUGCCUCUGUUUCUUAGUCCUCCAUAUUAAGUCCUGGUGAUUAGUGUCCUUGAGUACAGCCUCAUGCUUGGCAAUAGACCCUUAGCUUUCCUGUGAGGAUAUCUCUGUCCUAAUUGUUUCUUGACUAGUAUAAAGAAGAAAACAAAGCAUUAUUUAUUUAUUUAUUUAUUUAUUUUUUUUUAAGGUUCCUCCUCUCCUUGUCUCUUUCCUCUUUUCGUGUUCCUCCAGUUUUAGAAAGAUAAUAAUUUCUCUGAUUGGUCAUGGAGCCUCAUUUUAUAGAUAAAAGAGUUGGACUCUCAGAGAGUCACAUGACUGGCUCAAGGUCAGAGCCUGCUAGAAAAGGAGCUUGUAGUUUUACUCUAACCUCCAACUUGCCCAGCAAGGUGCCUUCCUCCCUGACUCUUACCCCAGGCUCUGACUGUGGGUAUAUUCUAAGGAGCAUCAAUAUGUGAGAACCAUGUAAUUUGUCUGUUGCAGGGGGGUAUCUGUGAUUUGUGUCUGCCUCUACGUAGUAGAGAAAGCAUGUAUUAAUGGGAUUUUUCGUUCCUGAAGAUGUUCAGGUCUGCACAGUGGAGAAUUCUGUGUUCAUAGUGUUCGUAAAGUGACACGAGAUCUGACCAUUGACAUCCCUCCCUGUUGCUCUGUCAGCCUUGUCUUACCUGCUGUGAGUGAAAGGCUUUUUAAUCUUCCCCAUGUCCCAUUUCCGCUUUUUUCCCAUUCUUCCCAUGCUCUGUUCAUUGAAAAGUUUGCAAACCUUUUUUGUAAAGGAUGGGGAGUAAAUAUUUUAGGGUUAAUGGGACAUAGAAUUUCUGUCACAGCUAAUCAACUUUGUCACUGCGGUGUGAAAGCAGCCACCAGCUGCGUGUAAACAAGAAUGUGACAUGUUCCAAUAAAACUUUAUAGAAAUUUGAAUCUCAUAUAAUGAAAUUAUUGCAUAUCAUGAAAUACCUUUUUUUGAAUUUUUUUCAAUUAUUUAAAAAUGUAAAAUCUACUCUUAGGUUUUUUUUUCCCAUGGGCUAUAUAAAAACAAGUGGUCGCCCCCUGGCCUAGAGAAUAGUUGUGCAUCAGUGGAUGAAAAGAAAGAGAAAGCUGGAGUGUGCAUUGUGGCUCAGUGGAAACAGACCUGGCUAGUAUCCAUGAGGAUGCAGAUUCUAUUCCUGGCUCUGCUCAGUGGGUUAAGGAUCCAGCAUUGCUGCGAGCUGUUGUGAAGGUUGCAGAUGCAGCUUGGAUCUAGCGUUGCUGUGGCUGUGACGUAGGCCGGCAGCUGCAGCUCUGAUUCGACCCUGAGCCUGGGAACUUGCACUGUGGCCCUUAAAAACACACACACUCAAACACAUAUACACAAGUACAGUUCUUUUCUAAGCUGUUUUGGCUUGUGGUAAAAGCUCUGGUUAUUAAACUGCACGUCGGAAGGCAGAGAGUUCCAGUUCUAUGUCUCUCCUAAAUUCACUUUUUGACUUAAUCUCUCCGGGGCCCAGCUUCUUUAUUCAUCUUCUAUGCUUAACCCUCUAGAGUCUGGAUUGGCAAUCUGAGAAGGGUUACUUGAGCUUGUUAUUGGAGUCAAGUAUAGAGUGGCAUUUGUUUAGUAUUAUUUAAUUCGAUUUUUCUGACACAUACCCAGUCCAUGUAUUGGCUUUGGGAAUAAGACGGCCACUGUUUGACUGACUCAUUGCUUCACUCAUCCGCUUCCAAAUGU